rnacentral:rRNA from 1 species
CCUACGGGGGGCAGCAGUAGGGAAUCUUUCACAAUGGGCGAAAGCCUGAUGGAGCAACGCCGCGUGCAGGAUGAAGGCCUUCGGGUUGUAAACUGCUUUUAUAAGCGAGAAAUAUGAUGGUAACUUAUGAAUAAGGAUCGGCUAAAUACGUGCCAGCAGCCGCGGUCAUACGUAGGAUCCGGGCAUUAUCCGGAGUGACUGGGUGUAAAGAGUUGCGUAGGUGGCAUAAUAAGUAGCUAGGGAAAUCUGGUGGCUCAACCAUUCAGACUAUUAGCUAAACUGUUAAGCUCGAGACCGUUAGGGGUAACUGGAAUUUCUAGUGUAGGAGUGAAAUCCGUAGAUAUUAGAAGGAACACCAAUAGCGUAGGCAGGUUGCUGGGACGGUUCUGACACUAAGGCACGAAAGCGUAGGGAGCAAACGGGAUUAGAUACCCCUGUAGUC